UAUUUUUUAAUUCACCAAGAGGUUGGGUUAUCUUCCCCCUUUCACAUUUUCUAUAGAAAGGAGGGAAACAAAAAAAUAAUGAAUAAUCCAACUUCUUCUCUUGUUAAAUUAUUUUUAUUUUUAUUUUUUAUUUGUUUACGUAAAAUAACUGCAAGAGCAGAUGUUGCUGAUACUAAGCUUUACGCCGUCUACUUGGGACACAAACCACACAAUAAUCAUGAACUUAUCACCGAUUCACAUCAUGAACUUUUAAGUCAAGUGGUCGGGAGCAAGGAAGAAGCUAAAAAACUUAUGAGAUAUAGUUAUAGACAUGGUUUCUCUGGAUUCGCUGCUAAGCUCACUGACUUUCAAGCCAAACAAAUUGGAGAAUUACCUGGUGUGGUUCAUGUUAUACCAAAUCACCUUUACAAGACUCAUACAUCGAGGAGUUGGGACUUUAUGGGUCUUUCUAAACACGAUCCCAAUAGUCUUGUGAACAAAACAAAUCAGGGCGAUGGAGUAAUUAUUGGCAUAAUAGAUUCAGGUAUUUGUGAUGACAAAAGGUUGGGAGGUUAAGGUAUUAUGAGACGUGAAGUGUGGCAGUGGCUUGAUCGAGAAGAUAGAUGGGUAGCAUCUUUUGGUACUAUGGAAUACACCCUUAUAUAUGCUCACCCUUCUUGUUUUAUCUCAUAUUAUUGGUAUUGCAUGGGGAGAUAAUUCGGAAGCUUUUAAUGAUAAAGGCCUAGUCCAAUUCCAUCAAGAUGGAAAGGUAGCUGCAAAUCCGCAAGAAAUUUCACCACUGCAAAAUAUUGUAAUCGAAAAAUGAUUGGAGCUCGUUGGUAUAUAAAAGGAGCAAUAGAAGCUAAUGAAUUAAAUCAAACAACAGCUAAAAAAUUAAAUGAUUUAUCACCAUUAGAUGAUAAAGUAGGGCAUGGUAGUCAUGUUGCAUAUACAGCUGCUGGUUCUUAUGUUAACAAUCUGUAAUACUAUGGUGUUAAUAUGGGAACAAUACGAGGAGGAGCACCACGUGCACGGUUAGCUAUUUAUAAGGUGGCCUGAAGUGGUAUAAAUGGAACAAAAAUUAGUAAUAUCGAUGUUCUUGCUACUAUUGAUGAUGCUAUAAAAGAUGGAGUUGAUAUAAUAUCAAUAUCUAUUGGUGGUGGUGUUAUCAACAUUGCUGACAUUGAUGAGGAUAAAUUAUUUGGAAUAGGAUCCUUUCAUGCAAUAUCCUAUGGCAUAUCUUUUAUUGCUAGUGGAGGAAAUAGUGGACCAGACUCUUACACAGUUGGUGCUACUUCUCCAUGGGUGAUAAGUGUGGCUAGUAGCAAUUCCGACAGAGAAAUUGUUACUCCUUUAACACUUGGCAAUAACAAGACGAUACUAGCUGCAGGACUUAUUAAAGGGAUGCAACAAGCCUUUGCUCCUUUGGUCACUUUUGCAAAUAUAACGUGAGUUGAAGACCUGGAAUCUAUUGCCAAUGGAUUGAAAGGAAAAGUUAUAAUGCUUUUCUUUCCAAACAAAAAGGAUAUAUUUCGUUCUUUGAUGAAACUUAACAAUACAGGAGUUUUGGCUUAUAUUUUUGCUACAAAAUCCUACACCAUUCUUCAUGAUAGAUCUCGAACAAGGAAAUCAAAUUUUUGACUAUUUUCAACAAUGUAUAUCGAACAAUCAAGAUCCUAUUAUUAAAUAUGGACAAGCUAAAAUUCUUGAGGGCAAGGAGACAUACAUAAAGGUGCCUCAAUUCUCCUCAAGAGGCCCUAAUUCUUUUGCCCCAGAAAUUUUAAAGCCCAAUAUUGCAGCUCUUGGUGUUAAUAUACUCGCAGCAUAUCCUUCUCAUCUCGGAGGAGAUAAUGGCUUCAAACUCAUGUCAGGAACAUCCAUGGCAGCCCCUCAUGUCGCGGAAAUUGUUGCACUUCUCAAAGCUGCACAUCCUGAUUGGUCUCCAGCAGCUAUUAGGUCCGCUCUUACGACUACAGCAUGGAACGAGGACACAUAUGAAACUGAAAUUUAUGCAGAAGGAACUGGAGGAAAACUUGCUAAUCCAUUCGAUUUUGGAGGUGGCAUAUGCAAUCCUAAUGGAGCUGCAGAUCCUGGUUUAAUCUAUGAUAUGGAAAAAAAUGAUUAUUCGAAUUAUCUUUGCAGUUUGGGCUAUAGUUAAGAUAGGGUUUAUAAUGUAACUACGUAUUCCGAUGCGAAAAAAUCGUCUUCUUCAUCAGGCAUUGUGUGUCCCAAAGAAGUACCAUCAAGGUUGGAUAUGAAUCUCCCUUCAAUAUCAAUUCCAAAUCUCAAGGAUUCAGUUACUAUCAAGAGAACUGUUACUAAUGUUGGGAAUGUUAACUCUAUAUACAAAUUAGUGGUUAAACCUCCAAGAAACGUUGAUAUUAAAGUAACUCCAAAUGUGUUGAAGUUUAAUGCCAAGACAAAGAAGAUCUCCUUUAAGGUAAAGAUCACAUCUACUUACCAAAGAAGUGGUAAAUUUACCUUUGGAAGUUUGGCUUGGAAAGAUGGCAAACGUUUUGUUAGAAUUCCUAUUGCUGUGAGAAAGCAAGUAGAUGAAUAAAGGUAAAGUACCAACUUUUAUUAGAUGGAAGUUUGGGGUGGAGUGGAGUGAUGACGCACAUCUUUCUGUGUACAGGGGUUGGAUCUAGGGGUUGCGGGGAUAUUCACCCGAACUCACUUGAUUAAAAUUACAUUGUAUACAUACGGUAACUUUUUUAUGUGUAUAUAACAGGUUGACUUAAUGGUUUAGGGUAUUCAAAAUUUAAUUUGAGGUUCCCAGUUCAGAUGUCAAACACUAUAUUUUUGUCUUUCAAAUAUUUUUAAUGAAAAUUUUGAAUCCAGC